GCUGCUCAGAGCCCCAAAAAACCUCCCACCAAGGACCCCCUUGCAGAUCUCAACAUCAAGGACUUCUUAUAAUUUCCCAGACACCUGAGGAGCUGGAGCUAGAUAUCCACUGAUCCCGCCCCCAACCCAAACCCCGCCCACACUGACCCACCCAGCCUUCCUGUGUCAUGUUGUAGCACAAACCGUGAAGUGAAUCAUUGAGAAAACAAGCCGAAAAAUGAAGAUGUGCAUAUUUCGAUGUUAUCCUUUGUUUUGAAUGAACCAGAAUAAAAUUAUGAAAAACACACAAAUGAAAAUGAAGGAUUAAAAAAAAGAUGUGUAUGUAUGUCUUUUCCAGUGUUUACGUCUGAAAUGAAUGAUGUGUGUAUGUUGAUCCCCUCAACUUCAGGUUCCUCUAGGACUUCCCUUUUGGGGUCAGAGGUCCUAAACAGGUUGUUGAAGCACUUUCUGUUGUAUGUUAAUUUUGGAGCAGUGUGCAAUGUAUCAUUCGCAGAAAGUACUCUGUGUAUUUUAUCCUCAUUGACCAAAAAAGGUCUCUCUGCUCAAAUUUUUAUCUGUGGACGACUUAUUGAUGUGAACCUGGUACUCGGAUUAUAAGUCAUGCUGUUGUCAUCAUCUCCCAUCAUUGAUUGACAUGUUUGUUUACAAAUAAUAUAUAUAUGAAAUCUAAAUAUAUAUGAAUUAUGUAUAAAUGAAUAACAUAUCCAGGCUCCUCUAUCCUAGAUAACCCUCUUGGUGAUUACAUGUAAUUUUUGUAUUUUAACUGGUAUUUAUUUUUCAGAUAUAUAUGUAUUUUUUGAUUCUUUGGUAUUAAUUUAAUUGUCAGUUCACGGUUUAAAUACUCUCUUUGGACUUCCCCAAGAAAAUAACCUCAGCAAAUUUGGACUUUAAUUCACUUAAUCUCAGCGCUACAAUUCUCAGACGAUCUCUAAGAAAGGCCUUUUGCAGUAUCUUAAAAUAACAAAUGUACAGUGACUUGUUAAACUGGUGAUGUUUCCCAAAAAAGCCCCCAAGAUUUCACAGUUGUAGUCAGUGGAAUGCUGUGUUUGAGUCUCAUAGUUACUUGUGCUUGUAUGAAAUCCAAAUUGAAGCUGGUACAUGUAGUGUUUUUUUGUAUAAUUGUAGAAGUACCCAUCCAUAUGUUUGGUUCUCAGUCUUUCCUGCUCAUACUAUAUUAUGAACCCUGACCCUUGUUUGUUACAUGUAAUGGUUGAUUCAUGCUCCCUUUAUUGGUGAGUAGUGGUACUGUAGAUUGCACAGCAAAAUAGAGUGUGGAGGAGAUAAAUUGGAUGAAAAUACCUGAUUUCAUAGAAACUAGAGCGUAGGUUCAUUAGCAGAGAUAAACUCUUAGAUCUGUUAGAAGUUUUCAGGAGGUCACUGUUAAACAGUGUUACAGAAAGGUCUGAUUGACAGCCCUGUAUGGCCAAGCCUCUGUAACUCACUCUCCCUGUUAGAUCUCUCGUGGAAAUGGCAAAGGCAGAUCUUUGGAUCUCUCCUUUGUAAUUCUCUUAAAAUAUUUUUUAUUUUGAUUUAUUGAUUCAUAUUUGACACCCCUACAUAGUGCAUGUAAGCCCUUUGAGAUGCAAUAAACACUGAUGGGAAGAAAUGCC